rnacentral:tRNA from 1 species
GGAAAUGUGGCUCAGUGGUAGAGUGCUUGCCUAGCAUGCAUGAAGCCCUGGGUUCAAUAUCUCAGUACCA